rnacentral:rRNA from 1 species
AAUGAACGCUGGCGGCGCGCCUAAUACAUGCAAGUCGAGCGAGAAGACGUAGCAAUACGUUUGUAAAGCGGCGAACGGGUGAGGAAUACAUGGGUAACCUACCCUCGAGUGGGGAAUAACUAGCCGAAAGGUUAGCUAAUACCGCGUACGCUCCUUGGACUUCGGUUCAGGGAGGAAAGCGAUACCGUGGGUAUCGCGCUCUUGGUUGGGCUCAUGUCCUAUCAGCUUGUUGGGAGGUAACGGCUCACCAAGGCUUCGACGGGUAGCUGGUCUGAGAGGACGAUCAGCCACACUGGCACUGCGACACGGGCCAGACUCCUACGGGAGGCAGCAGUAAGGAAUAUUGCGCAAUGGGCGAAAGCCUGACGCAGCGACGCCGCGUGGGGGAUGAAGGUCUUCGGAUUGUAAACCCCUUUCGGGAGGGAAGAUGGAACGAGCAAUCGUUCGGACGGUACCUCCAGAAGCAGCCACGGCUAACUUCGUGCCA